rnacentral:RNase_P_RNA from 1 species
CAAACAGGCUGUCUUAUCGCCAUGUAGUGAGCUUGCUCUACUAUAUGGAGGAAAGUCCGGGCAACAUAGAGCAUCGUACUUCCUAACGGGAAGGCCAUGAAGUAGAGAAAUCUCACUUCAUGGACAGAUAGUGCCGCAGAAAAUAUACCGCCCUGAAGUAUGAGCUUGCUCUAUGCUUCAAGGUAAGGGUGAAAUGGUGAGGUAAGAGCUCACCAGAUCCGAGGGUGACUUCGGAUGCUUGGUAAACCUUACGAGUUGAAAGGCCAAAUAAGUAUGGGAUUGAGGGUUGCUCGUCCGACCUUAGGGACCUAUAUGGGUAGGCUGCUGGAUUCUGAUAGUGAUAUCAGAACUAGAUAAAUGAUAAGAGUAUUGGCUUUAUCAGUCAGUAUUACUGAACCCGGCUUACAGGCCUGUUUUUUUA